rnacentral:rRNA from 1 species
AUUGAACGCUGGCGGCGGGCCUAACACAUGCAAGUCGAACGAGUGGCGGACGGGUGAGUAAUGUCUGGGAAACUGCCUGAUGUAGGGGGAUAACUACUGGAAACGGUAGCUAAUACCGCAUACCAUCAGAUGUGCCCAGAUGGGAUUAGCUAGUUGGUGGGGUAACGGCUCACCAAGGCGACGAUCCCUAGCUGGUCUGAGAGGAUGACCAGCCUGACGGGGACUGAGACACGGGCCAGACUCCUACGGGAGGCAGCAGUGGAGAAUAUUGUACAAUGGGCGCAAGCCUGAUGCAGCCAUGCCGCGUGUAUGAAGAAGGCCUUCGGGUUGUAAAGUACUUUCAGCGGGGAGGCGUUACCCGCAGAAGAAGCGCCGGCUAACUCCGUGCCAGCAGCCGCGGUAAUAC